AAUCUGCAAGUAUUGAGCUUGUCCAACUGUUUUCUUUCUGGCCCUAUUGAUUCUUCCCUUGCACAGCUUCGGUAUCUGUCGGUAAUUCGUUUGGACGGCAACAAUUUUUCUGCCCCAGUUCCAGAAUUCUUCGCAAAGUUCUCCAAUUUGAAAAUCUUGCACCUCAGCGAUUGCAAUUUGCAAGGAAAAUUUCCUCCAAAAGUAUUCCAGGUAUCAACACUAGAGAUUCUCG
rnacentral:misc_RNA from 1 species